GAGAGUUCAUGCAGCUGGAGUUACAGGUGAUUGUGAGCUGCCCAACCUGAGACCCUGGAUACUGGGAGCUGAGCUCAGAUCCUCUAGAAGAGCAGUAUGUUCUCAUAUCUGAGCUGUUUCUCCGGCCCCAAGUGUGACAAUAUUUCUUAGUUUCUAAUUCUUGAAACCUUAACCAUCGCUUAUUUAUCCAUUGUUCCAACUUUGGUAACAAACUUAACCCCGAAGUCUUUCUGUAAACACCAUCUGAAUUCUAUUUUCUGAUGGAAUACAGUCCAAGUUCUAGCAGUCUCCAAUCAUGACAAUUAUGCGUGGUUUAAUUUUACAUGGUAACAAUAUGGUUAAGACACAUAAUUCCCUUCCAGACUGAAGAGUUAGUAUCGGGGUAUGGCUUUCCCCUUGUAGCUCUCCAAUCUGCUGAUCCUGUACCCUCCAACACAAUAGCUUUCCCAGAAUAAAGUGCUUUAAUACAAUGAACAUACUGCUACCAAAUGCAAAUCCUGAUGUGUCCACCAAAUCACUUGAAUCCGGCCAAGAGUUGGAAUCGGCAGGCAGGUGAGAUAACACACACCUUCAACCCUAGCCCUGGGGAGACAGAGGCAGGCAGAUCUGGGAGUUCGAGGCCAGCCUAGCCUACAGAGCAAGUUCCAGGAUAGCCAGAGCUACACAGAAAAACCCUGACAAUAAACAAACAAAUAAAUGUGCUUCAUAAAUCUGCAGAUGCCCUGUACAUAAAAAUGAAGGAUGUUUUUGCUUGUAUCGUGCAACAGUUACAACACAAGGUGAUGUUUAGGAAGACAGCUUCUCUUCAGGACUUUGAAACUUCUCACAGGGUCGUGAAGACUUCUCAACUGCAAUGUCUUUGUCAGUUGUUUGUGAGCCGUAAUUCCUCUGCAGUCCAUCUCAAAGAUACUUGGUGAUUUAUCCUCUCUUGCAAAGCAGGCCUGUUUCUGUCAGCGGAUGUUGUAUCCGCAAGGUUCCCGAGACUUCAUCCAUAGACGCAAUCAGCUGGUCUGCCUACUUUCUUCUUCCAGUCAAGCUUUGACUAAAAUAAUACGAAUGCUGAGGACCCUACUGAUUAAGACCUUCAGUUUAGGAGGACAAGACAAAAGGUUUCAACUGCGUUUGAGGCAUACACUUCGAUAAGGCUUGUCAUGUGUACAUCACAAGAAACAGAGCAGUGGACAUGUCUUCUGAGGAGCCACUCAUAGCCACUUGCUCAUGGAUGGAACUUCAAGCUCCAGAUGACUGAGCGGUGAAGACCAUAUGCUCUAGGACUACCUGCAAUCCAGCAAGCAAGAUGGCCGGACUGCAGUCUAGAAACUUUCAAGUCAAAAGAAACGAGUUACCAUAAGCUGAUUGAACCAUGCCUGUCCGUGAGCCUCUUUCCCUUCCCCAGGAACGAGAUGUGAAGCAGGAGUCUGCAGCUAUGCUGAUAUGUAUAUAGUGGAGAAGAUCCGAGUCUUCCUGGAAAGUUCUUGUGGGAUAGUAACUGUUAGGACACUAGCUAUCUGAGCAAAGGAUCAUCUUGUCAAAAGAAUGUCUUCCAAUUGCCUUUGAAUUCUGCAUCCUUUAAGUAAAGCCAUUGCAUCAGGAUUCAAAGCAGUUUUUAGAAAGCAAACGAUUUCUAUAUCAUACAUCUUCUUUUUCUUGGUUAUUUUGAAGAUGUAGCUCUUGAAUUUAAAAAAUAUGCCUUGUCUAAGUUAAGGAAGGAAUCUUACAAUGGUCACUUCUAAAUAUAAAGCAUAAACUCUUUUAUUGUACACUUUAUAACAGUCAAAUCUAAGAACCUAAAUAACGAGAAACAAGAAUUACUAAGACACCUGAUUUAAACUGAAUGUUUUAACUAUUCUUUGGCUUAGAUUAUUUUCUUUUCUCUUUUUGUUAUGUCUCUGAAUUAAAAAAGACAAUGAGAGGCCAGGAAAAAUGAAAAAAGUGCUACCAAGAUGUGACAAGCAGUCAUGCAAACAAGAAUUGUUCACUUUCUUGGAAAAUAAAAAAUAAAAAAAACUUA
rnacentral:sRNA from 1 species